ACAUUAGUCUGCUGACAUUUUUCUGCUGGUAUAAUUAUUAUGUCCUUCUGCAGUCUGCUUUUCAUCUGCACAGAGUUUCUCCCAUGGAAGAGUUUAGUUAAAGACCUCAAAGUAGAGAACUAGAGAAGCCAGAAGGGUUCUUCAGCAUAAGGCUCUGCCAGAUGAGACUUGGGCAGACUUGGGAGGGAUGCUGGAGCUCACUGCAGGAGCUGUAACCCCACUGCAGGCUGGAUUAUGGCUUCCACUAAGGACCCCAAACACCAAUCCCAGAGCCAAGGCAAGCUCCUAGGUGUGCACAACAUGCCAACCUGUGGGAUGAAAGGGCAGCACCAAAAGGAAGGAGGGGAAGAAAUAAAUUUUCAUUGCAGCUGUCAUGAAACUAGGCAAGUCCACCAAGUUUUCCUAGCUUGAGAGGAAAACCAGGUCCAUGGCAUGGCCCAUUGCUCCUUAUUUUUCUUACAAUAUUUGCUUCAUUACAAGUGUGUUUCAGUAGUUUCUGAACUUGUUGCAUGAACAGAGCUGCACUUUCCAAUACGUUCUGUGCUGUGCACCAUCUUUGAGCACCCAAGACACAAGGAGCCCUCCUGGAAGCUCCAAGACCACAACCCCUCCCAAUCCAUCUCCCUCAGGCACGGCACAAAAAAAAAUUAGCUCCAACCCUGAACUUAGAGGUGAUCUGCAAAAGUUUUGCUGAAAAUUAAAAGCUUGUUUGAGAUCCCUUAGGAAGAUAAAAGUACACAGCUUGGUUAAAAUGGAAUUACUGCAGUAUUAAAGAGGGAUGUGAGGGACAGACUACCAAUUAGUUUCACCUUCAUUCAGGACACAGAGGUGUGGAAAAAGGAAGAGGUGAGCCCUCAGCUCCCUUCAUUUCAGGAGCAGCCUGGAACCUGCCCAGAUCUCAUGGACCACCCUCAUGGCAGAGGCGCUGGCUCACAGCCCAUCAAUGGGGAGCAGAGUCAUUCCUGCCCUGCCAGUCACAGCCCUACAAAGCCCAGCAUGGCCUGCAGCCCUGGCAGCAUCCCUGCCUUCCCUGGUACCUUCCUGCUUCAGUCUGGGCACAAGCCAGCACCCAGGCAUCACCUCAGCACAGGUGGGAAGGAGCUUUGGUGAGAUGGGCCUCCAGCUCUCCCUGACAGAUGAAUCUCACGGGCAGGAUGUGCUUCUAAAACACAUUGUCCCUAAUUCAUCCCCUCUGGAGCUCUCAAAAAACAUUGCCUGAAGACUUGACUUUUCCCUGCUUGCCUUGAAGAAAUGCUGGAACACAGUCAGAUCCCAUCCGACCCACAUCUGGAGUCUCUUCCUUCAUUUCACUCAGCUUUACUUUUUUCCUCCCCUUUUCACUUUUUAAAUUUAACCUGACUCGACAAUUUACAACAUUCUUCACAGCUUUGCACCUUGUGGAGCCCCAUCUGUGCAUGCAAAAUUCUUCCAAAUGCAAAUGUUAGUGCUCUGGAUUGCGGUUUAACUGCUGGAGUUUCAGGAUUUGUGUUUUGGAGGAAAGGGAAGGGUGCUCUGCCUCCCACAGCGGGGAAACAAACCUUCCCUGUGCACUCUGGUUUCUUGAUCUUAACUAAGAGAUGUGAUGGAAGGAAGGGAGGACAUCUGCAAGAGGGUAAUAUAGACAGUGCAGUGGUAAAGGAAUGGAAGGAAUUAGAACAGUGACACCUGAGUUCAGCUGUUCACCACAGUUAACACAGCACGGGGCCACAAAAAGAACCAUUCAGACCCUGUCUUGCAACAAAUGGAAACCCAAAAUCCCUGUUACAGGCUGCCGUGGCCACACCUCUGUGCCUUUUGCCCCAAACCCAAGCCCCCGAGGGCAAGGCAUUGUCAGUCACAGGCCAUCCACAGGUGUGGCAGCAGAUGAAAUCUGCUUUGUGGUGUCUUUGCACAUGCAGAGUCACCUACAACUCUGAGUCACCUUGUACCACCAGGUUCCCCAUCUUUGGUUUUUUUCACCUGUGAAAUAGCUCUGACUGAAAAAGAAGUUAAAUUCCCUUUGAAUUGAAGAAAACGUACAUAUUUCUAAGUAAAA
rnacentral:lncRNA from 1 species